rnacentral:lncRNA from 1 species
AUCUUAGAGAUAUUUAAACAAGUGAAAGUAAAUAUCUCUCUACUAGACAUGAUCUAACAAAUUUUCACAUACAUCAAAUUUCUCAAAGACUGAUGCACAAAGAAGAAGACCACCAAUAUUCUCAAAAAAGCUUUCUUGGCGGUCAGUGUGAGCUCAUAUCAGUCGAGUCACAUGUCUGUUAAGUAUAAAGAUCCGGUCUUCGAUAAUCUCUUGUGUCAUUGGAGAAACCAUCAUUGACAGGG